rnacentral:rRNA from 1 species
GACGAACGCUGGCGGCGUGCCUAACACAUGCAAGUCGAACGGAAAGGCCCUGCUCUUGUGGGGUGCUCGAGUGGCGAACGGGUGAGUAACACGUGAGUAACCUGCCCCUGUCUUUGGGAUAACUUCAGGAAACUGGGGCUAAUACCGGAUAGGAGCUCCUGCUGCACGGUGGGGGUUGGAAAGUUUCGGCGGUUGGGGAUGGAAUCGCGGCUUAUCAGCUUGUUGGUGGGGUAGUGGCUUACCAAGGCUUUGACGGGUAGCCGGCCUGAGAGGGUGACCGGCCACAUUGGGACUGAGAUACGGCCCAGACGCCUACGGGAGGCAGCAGUGGGGAAUAUUACACAAUGGGCGGAAGCCUGAUGCAGCGACGCCGCGUGCGGGAUGACGGCCUUCGGGUGGUGAACCGCUUUCGCCUGAGACGAAGCGUGAGUGACGGUAAUGGGUAAAGAAGCACCGGCUAACUACGUG